rnacentral:rRNA from 1 species
GUGGGGAAUCUUCCGCAAUGGACGAAAGUCUGACGGAGCAACGCCGCGUGAGUGAUGAAGGUCUUCGGAUUGUAAAGCUCUGUUAAUCGGGACGAAAGAGCCUAGUGUGAAUAAUGCUAGGAAGUGACGGUACCGGAAUAGAAAGCCACGGCUAACUACGUGCCAGCAGCCGCGGUAAUACGUAGGUGGCAAGCGUUGUCCGGAAUUAUUGGGCGUAAAGCGCGCGCAGGCGGAUCUGCCAGUCUGUCUUAAAAGUUCGAGGCUUAACCCCGUGAUGGGAUGGAAACUACAGAUCUAGAGUAUCGGAGAGGAAAGUGGAAUUCCUAGUGUAGCGGUGAAAUGCGUAGAUAUUAGGAAGAACACCAGUGGCGAAGGCGACUUUCUGGACGAAAACUGACGCUGAGGCGCGAAAGCCAGGGGAGCGAACGGGAUUAGAUACCCGUGUAGUCC